GUGUUGUAUGAAAAGAGAGAACGUUAGCACUCCUCUUGACAAGGAUGGAAGAGGCCCCUGGGCCUAACAACACACAUACGGUUAAGACUAGUCUAGUAGGACUAGUGCCCUUAU
rnacentral:ncRNA from 1 species